GUUUGGCUGUGAUAGGAGUAUUUUUAAAGAUUUCGGAAACUUCUGGCAGCCCAGUGUCUACUGGAAGGCCCAAGCCGCUUGCCAGAAAGCUGCGCCCCGCCCAAAAGCACUGGGUUCUGCAGUCCAGGCCCUUCCUCAGCUCCCAGGUCCAGGAGAACUGCAAGGUCACCUACUUCCACAGGAAGCACUGGGUCCGCAUCCGGCCCCUCCGCACCACUCCUCCCAGCUGGGACUACACCCGCAUCUGCAUCCAGAGAGAGAUGGUCCCCGCCCGCAUCCGCGUCCUGAGAGAGAUGGUCCCCGAGGCCUGGAGGUGCUUUCCCAACAGGCUGCCGCUGCUGAGCAACAUCAGGCCUGAUUUCUCCAAGGCUCCCCUGGCCUACGUGAAGCGGUGGCUUUGGACCGCCCGCCACCCCCACAGCCUGUCCGCAGCCUGGUGACCGUGAAAAUCGCCCCGCCAGAGAGCAGAGGAAGCCCGACGCCCAGGCCAUCUGCCUUCAGGUCUGUGAUGAGAAACGGAGUGGCCUGUUCCGUUGUGCCCAGGUCUAGGCCGCUGAGCAGAGCCCUCACUCCCAGGCAGAGUUGUCUGAAUCCUUCCUGGCGGCCGCCUGCUGCCCUGACGCCUCAGGCUUGCCUGCACCUGGAAGGAGCUUCGCCAGGUGGGCCAUGAGCCUCUGAGCACACCCAGCCUGCUGCCCGGCUCCAAGAGUCAGGCCCCUGCCACCACCUCCUGAGCCUCCAGCCCUCAGCACCUUCACCCUACUGACCGCGGUUCUACCCCCACACCAGCCACCGGCCCCACCGGGGCACUUCCCACUGCUCCAGCCGACCACUCAGCGAGCCCCAGGCCCACCUCUCCUCUCCCUUAAAGCCCUUCCCUUGCCCUUGCCCAUUCGCUCCUGCCUUCUCCCUGGGGACAGGAGGCAUG
rnacentral:lncRNA from 1 species